AUGAAUGAAGAUGAAUGUUCCCCUAACUUCCCUUCAGCAUCAUUCCCCUCAAUCCAAACCAGCCCUAAAAAGUACCACACGCUGCGAGCAUGGGGAGACAAAAUUACCGCCUAAUCGUCUUACAAAUCUCCAUCCAAGAAAAAGGGAAGGGGAGGAUGGGAACAAAAACCCUGGAAAAAGAUGGGUAAAAAGAGGAGAAAAGCACAAAAAAAGGGAUUAACGGUUUCAAUGGAGCUGCUUCAAACGUCUGAUCGAGUGUUAGAAUUUGGAUUAGAGCUCGGGAUUCAUCAGAAUAAUGCCCCCGCCGAUUCCUGCUCUUUUUUUUUUGGAAUAAUUCGUUCUGGCGUUGAAAUUGCAUCAAGGGUUUGGAGAUAGUCGCAGAAGCUGAAGGGGCUAAAUUUAGGGCAUUAUGGGGUUGAGCAAGGUGGAAUCUUGAUUGGACAUUGUAGAGAUAUAUGUGAGUUAUUCCUACAGGCAAAGACGAAAUUGAGUCUUUGUAGGGUUCUCUAAUCACAACUGAUUGAAAAAAGGGCAUUGUUUCAGAGAGCGCAGUUCUUCGCAGUGCAUUUCAGAAUAGUGGAGGAGGGUGGCCCGAUCAUACUGAUGUUCUCUGCAUGUGCCUCUCACAGUCACGAUAUAUGUUAAUAUGGUGUAUUACAGUAUGGCAGACACCAUUUAUCAACUUUUUGCCUUCUUUGGAGCUCUCCUUUUCAGCAAGCAAUUCCUAAUUAAAAUAGCAAGCAAGUUGUAUCCUUUCUCCCGUCUUGUAGAGAAAAGGGGGCUGAAUCUGAUCUAAUGUGGAGAUCUACUUGAGGUUUUACCUUGGAACCAUUUUCUAUGUGCCACUUGCUGCAUGGCAAUUUGGGGGGGUAAGGUUACCAGCAUUGGAUUCGCAUUGCUUAAACCAUGGGGGAGAGGCAUGUUACAGUAUAUGCAUUUGUAGGCUGAUUUCUAAUGGGCAUCUCGUUCACAUGAAAAGGUCUCUUUGGAUCUAGGGUUGCAGAGAUGUGCUGAAACGAGCUUAUAUAUAUGGAUUGCAUAUAUGAAUCUUGGUCUCUUUUUAAGUCUUAAUUAUUUUAUCUGGUUUCUAGUGAAAUCGGGCAUUUGUUUUCUUACAAGGAUGUAGAUGCUGCGUACUAUGCACUAAUUAUAUAUAUGGAUUGCAUACUUUCUGUACGUUUCAGUGUGGAAAUACACUUAUUCAAAUGCAGUAAUUAGGGAACCAUGGAUUUUUGUUA